GAUGAACGCUGGCGGCGUGCCUAACACAUGCAAGUCGAACGGAGUCCAGCCUUUAAGACCUUCGGGUCAAAGAGGGGAAGACUGAGUGGCGGACGGGUGAGUAACACGUGGGCAACCUGGCUCAUAGAGGGGGAUAACAGAGAGAAAUUUCUGCUAAUACCGCAUAAGCACACACUGCCGCAUGGCAGAGGGUGAAAAGAGAAUCGCUAUGAGAUGGACCCGCGUCUGAUUAGCCAGUUGGCAGGGUAAGAGCCUACCAAAGCGACGAUCAGUAGCCGAUCUGAGAGGAUGAACGGCCACAUUGGGACUGAGACACGGCCCAAACUCCUACGGGAGGCAGCAGUGGGGGAUAUUGCACAAUGGGGGGAACCCUGAUGCAGCGACGCCGCGUGAGUGAAGAAGUAUAUCGGUAUGUAAAGCUCUAUCAGCAGGGAAGAUAAUGACAGUACCUGAAUAAGAAGCCCCGGCUAACUACGUG
rnacentral:rRNA from 1 species